rnacentral:tRNA from 1 species
AAAAAUUUAGUUUAAUAAGAAAACAACAAGUUGUCAACUUGUAAAUACUUAUAAGUAAUUUUUU